UACGGAGGAUGCAAGCGUUAUCCGGAAUGAUUGGGCGUAAAGCGUCCGCAGGUGGCAGUUAUAGUCUGCUGUUAAAGACUGGGGCUUAACCCUGGAAAGGCAGUGGAAACUGAACAGCUAGAGUGCGGUAGGGGCGGAGGGAAUUCCUGGUGUAGCGGUGAAAUGUGUAGAGAUCAGGAAGAACACCGGUGGCGAAAGCGCUCUGCUAGGACGCAACUGACACUCAGGGACGAAAGCGAGGGGAGCGAAUGGG
rnacentral:rRNA from 1 species